GGUGCUCAUCUUUAUCCCAAAUCACACUUCUCAACUCCCUUUGACAUUUCUUAGGGUUUACCCAUUUUCUAAUUUCGAAUUCUCAACUUCCCAAAUCACACUCCUCAAUUCGGAUCACUCGCCCCAGAUUUGGGGGCCAAAUCGUAAAAUCCCUAGGGUUUUGCUUCAACAACUCCUCCGAGAUUUACACCCAUUCGAACCGUUAGGGUUUUGCCGAACGGCGACUGAUUUCAGAUGGAGAUAAUCGGCGACGCGCUUCGCCAGGCGUUCAUGCCCAAGCGCGAGUACGAGUGCCUCCGGGAAGAAGACCGAGCCUGGGGGAAGCUCCAGAGGCCGAUGUUGAUGGCGUCCGUGGCUUUCAUCUGCCUUGCGAUCUUCGUCUGCGCGGUUAUCAGCUUGAACAUUGUGUUUCCGGCCGACGCGUCCCGGCGGCCGUUGUGCGGCGACGACCGGAGGCUUAAUUCGCUGCCGAUGAAUGUGAGAGGCGGCGAUUCCGAUUCGUUUAGUGGUGCGUUUUCUCUGACGGACCAGGAGACUGUGGAUUACUAUUGGAUGGUGGUGUUCAUUCCCUCCAUGAUCAUUUUCUUGGCCACGGUGGUGUAUCUCGUCGCCGGAAUCACAGUCGCGUAUUCUGCCCCUGCAAGGAAUGGAUGCUUAAUGGUAGUUGAGAAUAAUUACUGUGCUUCAAAAAGAGGUGGGGUACGAUGUCUAUCAAUUCUGAAUGCUGUCUUUGCUAUCAUAUUUGGUCUUCUUGCCUUGUUUCUUGGUACAACUCUUCUCACAUUAGGGGGAAGCUACUGCUCUGUGCCUCUAUUCUGGUGCUAUGAGAUUGCCAUUUGGGGGCUUGCUAUUCUGUAUGGAGGGACUGCCUUCUUCCUAAGAAGGAGAGCAGCUGUAAUCCUUGACGAAGGGGAAUUUGGUAGCCGAAACUUGGGGCUUGAAAUGUUAGAGAGUCCAGUGGAAGUGACACCAGACGUGGAAAGGCGGGUUGAUGAAGGGUUUAAAACAUGGAUGGGCUCCUCACUCUUAUCAUCCGAUGAAGAAGAUGAACCUGACAAUUAUUAGGUUCUUCCUCAUGCAACUACACCAACUCUAACAUGCGAAGUGAGGCCUUUGGCACCGAAGCUUCCUGGAAAUUUUUUCCACACUAGCAGAAGAGGUUUAGAGUAGUAAAAGUUCGACUUUGGCUGAUCAAAUCUGCCAGCUUGAAAUUGGUUCAACUGAUGAUGUAACAUGAGUGAAUGCAAGAGUGAGGAUGAUGUCCAUUUUGUAAUCUGUCCGCACUUUGGCAAUCUUGAAUAGUCUGUGAAUAUCAAACCAGUGUCUGAAAAUG